rnacentral:lncRNA from 1 species
CUGAUAGAACCAACAAAAACUCAAACCAAACAACUUCUCCUCCUUCUCCUUCUCCUUCUGUUGCUCCUUCUCCUUCUCCUUUAUCCUCACACUCAUCGGAUGCAUUAACUCCUAUACCGCCACCUUCUCCACUAAACGGUUCAUCUACACCACCUUCUCCAGUACUAGAUGGUUCAUCUCCACCACCUUCUCCGCUUGAUGGUUCAACUCUUACUCCACCACCUGUUCAGCAAGUCGGUUCAUCUCCACCACCACUAGGGACUGAUGUGACAAAUCCAAUUACUCCAACUCAAUCUCCUGUUUCAGAACCUCCUCCUCCUAAUGCUGCUUCUUCAAUCUUGGUUAGCUUUGG